ensembl:lncRNA
GGAGGCUCCGGCAGCAGUGCCGGACAGGCGGGAGACUCCGGCAGCAGCGCCGGACAGGCGGGACCACCUGCAGGGAGGAGACAGAGAGACAGCCUGGUGCGUGGGGCUGCCACAGGAACCACCAGGCUGGGGAGACCUUCAGGAGGCUUGGUGUUAGGAGGAGGCACCUGAAGGACCGGGCUGUGGGGGAGCACUGGAGCUCUGGUGCGCAACCUUGGCACCACUUCCCCAGGCUGUCUCUCUGUCUCCUCCCUGCAGGUGGUCCUGUCUGUCCGGCGCCGCUGCCGGAGUCUCCCGCCUGUCCGGCGCUGCUGCCGGAGUCUCCCGCCUGUCCGGCGCUGCUGCCGGAGUCUCCCGCCUGUCCGGCGCUGCUGCCGGAGCCUCCCGCCUGUCCGGCGCCGCUGCCGGAGCCUCCCGCCUGUCCGGCGCCGCUGCCGGAGCCUCCCGCCUGUCCGGCGACGCUGCCGGAGCC